GAAUAUUGGUCAAUAGCCUAACGGCUGAACCAGCAACUUGGAAGAAUGUAAUUAUUGCAUGUAAAUGUGAUUUCAAAAAAAUUGAGUAAAGUUCUAGAUAGAAUUAUGAUAAUGACAUUAUCUAUCUAUAAGUCUUGACUAAGUCACGUGCCAGCAGUCGCGGUAAUACGUGGAAGACGUGUGUUAUUCAUCUUUAAUAGGUUUAAAGGGUACCUAGACGGUUAAUAAAGCCAAAAAAGGGACUAAUUAACUAGAGUUUUAUAUGAGAAGGAUCGAGUACGAUGAGAGUAGAGUUAAAAUUCUGUGAUACCAUUUAGAAACUGGUAACGGCGAAAGCAACCUUCUAUCUAAAAACUGACGUUAAGGGACGAAGGCUCGAUCAAGGAAUAGGAGUAGAACCCUAGUACUGUGAGCAGACAAUGAUGAAUGUCAUAUAUAAGAUAAAAUUUUAUGUAUAAAUGAAAGUGUAAGCAUUCCACCUUAAGAGUAAUAUGGCAACAUAGAAAUUGAAAUCAUUAGACCGUUUCUGAAACCAGUAGUGAAGUAUGUUGUUUAAUUUGAUGGUCCACGGAAAACCUUACCACAAUUUGAAUUGUUAUAUUAAAUAAUAUAAUACAGGUGCUGCAUGGCUGUCUUCAGUUAAUGUCGUGAGACUAGGUUAGUUCCAGUAAAUUAACGUAAACCCUUACUUUAUUUUUAUAAAGUAGUUCGCUAUUAUAUCGGUGUAGAUAUAAGGGACCAAGACAAGUCAUCAUGGCCUAAAUAUUGUGGGCUAUAGA
rnacentral:rRNA from 1 species